ensembl:lncRNA
AGGCUGGUUGACUACAGCAGAUGCUGUGCUGUGUUGCUCAGAUCCAUAUUCAGGACGGAAGAACUUAUUUCCCUCAACUGCUGCAAGUGCUGUAGACUGCAUCCAGCUAUUUGUUAUGGGAGAAUAAAAUACUGGCCCCCUCACCCCAACUUGGGACAACUCUUGGCCAUCACAGCUCUAGAGCUCCCCAUGGGAUCAGCUGAAGCCUCACUGAGAGUGCCUUGAAGCCCAGCUCCUCCCUCUGCCCAGUCUGGCUCCCUUCCCUUCCCCUUCAGGGAGAACACUUCUGAGAUACAAUUCAUAAGGAUCCUUGGAAGAUGGUGGUAGAUCCAGCACUGACUGCUCAUAGGAAUGGCCAGCUCGCCCGGGUCUGGUUCCCAGGUGUGGAACAACACCAUUGUCUGUCAGUAGCUGUGCUGUGGCAGUGGCUCACAUAGAAGAACCAGAAGAACUUACAACUAGACACAACUAUGUGCUGGGACUUGAGAGGAAAAUAAAAAGGAGGAAGAUUGGCAGCAGAUGUUAGCAAAAGAAACCAGGAAUCAUAGAACUCGGCUACUGGAACCAAAGAGAGGAAUCAUCUAGAAUCCUUCUAGCCUGGCCCACAGGAAGCUUAGGCAACCAAUUUUGGACCUGUUUGAAACCAACUUCCCUAUAUCAGAAACAGGAAAAGAAAGAAGUUACACUCUGCCUCAUGAGCCAACCGGAGAACUGAGCUCAGCAUCUUGCCUUAUUGGUGCACAUUCUAUUCACAUAAUGAAGUUCUUUCAUUUUCUGCUUGGAGAGACCUGCUGACCUCACACCUGAAUGAGGCGAUGUCGUCCUCCCUUCCAGUCUCUCAGAACCCAGCCACCAUCUUGUGAGGAAGCUUCCCACGUGGAGAGGGCCUAAGGACUUCUGACAGCAGCCAAAACCGACUUACCAGCUCUGUGAGCGAACCACCUUGGAAGUCUGUCCUCCAGACCAAGUGAAGCCUUCAGAUGACUGUAGUCACACCUAACAUCUGACUAUGACCUCACGAGGGACCCCUAACCAGAACCACUCGGCUAAACUACUGCCGGAUUCACAACCCACAGAAACCAUGAAAGACAUAAAUGGUCAUUGCCAUCUUAACCCGCUAAGUUUUGCAGUGAUUUUUUUUAUGCAGCUUUAGAGAACAAAGGAGAGGAGUGCAACAGAAAGGGGCCAUCCCAGAACCCUCAAAGGUGUGGGGCCUAGGACAGGGCCUCUUUUGCCUGGAUUUAGGGCCGUACUGAGGAAAGGAUAUGGAUUUUAUUUCAGUAGCUGGGUAUUUCCUAGGGAGGGAUGAGCUUAUUUAUACAAAAGAGGAACUUGCAGGACUGAGCAGGUGUUGGAGAUCAGGAAAUUUUUUUAUAAAAGCUGUAACAAAGCAGCCCUUUAUCUGGAGUAUACAAAGAAAUGAAAAUCUAAUGAGACCAUUUAUUUGCUUGAUUGUGUAAACACACAAAAAUGUACACAUCUUGGAAUAGUCACAGCGGAAGGAGAUCUGCUUAAGCCAGUGAUGCCGUCUGUCACUUUUCAAAAAUGCCUGUGAAACUUCUCUUUCGGAAUUGCCCACAAAGCUGGAUUAUGAGCUUCCCAUGAAACCAGACUCAUCACUCAAGCUGCGACUUGGUUUGUGACCCCAGACAGCAUUUCCCAGCUUGAUCACCCAACCUACUCAGCAGACUUUGCUCUGAAUGACUUAGAACUGUUUCCAAAACUCACACCCGCCCUUGGAGGAUACAUGCUGUCAGACUUAUCUUUCUGCCACACCUCGGAUCAUGCGCUUCAGUGCCUCUCGGCUGCAUAGAGAAUUAAGCUCCAACAUGUCAGCUAGAUUUUCAGAACUUUAUACAACAUGCAGCCCCCACCUAGCUUUGCAGUUCUAUCAUCCCAGAACACACGAUGCCCUCUCUACUUACUGAUGAUAGGUACCAUUUACUGAGCCCUUAUUAUGUGCCCCACACUGUGCUAAGAGCUUAAUAUAAUCUCUCAUUUUGUCCUUAUAUGACUUUGUAAGAUAAAUGUUAUCUCUAUAGUAUAAAUAAUAAUAAAACAGGGGUCAC